CCUGGCGUCUGUAGCGCGGUGGUCCCACCUGACCCCAUGCCGAACUCAGAAGUGAAACGCCGUAGCGCCGAUGGUAGUGUGGGGUCUCCCCAUGCGAGAGUAGGGAACUGCCAGGC
rnacentral:rRNA from 1 species